GUCCAUUUUGGUGGAAAACUUUUACAGAUUUCAGCAGGGGAUGUGUUCCUGAAUCUGAAUGUAACUUCCAGGGAAAUGUCGACGUGAAUGGAGUUAAAUUAGGGAUGGCCUAUACUUGCUGCUCUACUGACGACUGCACUCCUCCUGUUCCUAUAUUAUUAUCCAGCAGUUCUGAGACCAAUGGCCUGGUGUGUCCGUCAUACCAGUCU